GACGAACGCUGGCGGCGUGCUUAACACAUGCAAGUCGAACGGAAAGGCCCCUUCGGGGGUACUCGAGCGGCGAACGGGUGAGUAACACGUGGGCAACCUGCCCCAGAGAUCGGGACAACAGUUCGAAAGGACUGCUAAUACCGGAUACGGUGUCAUCUGCCAAGUAGAUGCCACUAAAGGUAGCCUCGGCCUCCGCUCUGGGAUGGGCCCGCGGCCCAUUAGCUUGUUGGCGAGGUAACGGCUCACCAAGGCGACGAUGGGUAGCUGGUCUGAGAGGACGAUCAGCCACACUGGGACUGAGACACGGCCCAGACUCCUACGGGAGGCAGCAGUGGGGAAUCUUGCGCAAUGGGCGGAAGCCUGACGCAGCAACGCCGCGUGAGCGAAGAAGGCCUUCGGGUUGUAAAGCUCUGUCAGGAGGGACGAGGCCACUCGGGUGAACAGCCCAGAGGGUGACGGUACCUCCAGAGGAAGCCCCGGCUAACUACGUGCCAGCAGCCGCCGUAAAAC
rnacentral:rRNA from 1 species